UACAGAGGGUGCGAGCGUUGUCCGGAAUCAUUGGGCGUAAAGGGCGCGUAGGUGGCGGGACAAGCGUGCGGUGAAAGCCUGGGGCCCAACCCCGGGUCGGCCGUGCGAACUGUUUUGCUUGAGCACUGUAGAGGCAGGCGGAAUUCCGGAUGUAGCGGUGGAAUGCGUAGAGAUCCGGAAGAACACCGGUGGCGAAGGCGGCCUGCUGGGCAGUAGCUGACACUGAGGCGCGACAGCGUGGGGAGCAAACAGG
rnacentral:rRNA from 1 species